UACGUAGGGGGCAAGCGUUAUCCGGAUUUACUGGGUGUAAAGGGAGCGUAGACGGCUGGCCAAGUCUGAAGUGAAAGCCCGGGGCUUAACCCCGGAACGGCUUUGGAAACUGGCCGGCUGGAGUGCUGGAGAGGCAGGCGGAAUUCCUGGUGUAGCGGUGAAAUGCGUAGAUAUCAGGAGGAACACCGGUGGCGAAGGCGGCCUGCUGGACAGUAACUGACGUUGAGGCUCGAAAGCGUGGGGAGCAAACA
rnacentral:rRNA from 1 species